GGAAGAGUUGUGUACACCAGACGCGAGCGACGUGUCAAAAGAUAAUAUGGAUAAUAUGUGUUUUCUAGGCUAUUCUGAGUGAUUGCCAGGGUGGUGUUUGGGUGUUCUGAAUGGUUGCCAGGGUGUUGCUAGGGUGUUCUGAAUGAUUGCCAAGGUGUUGUUGGGUGGUUUUUAGGGUAUUCUGAGGGGUUGCCAAGGUGUUCUAAAUGGUAACCAAGGUGUUGUUAGGUGGUUUCUAGGGUAUUCUGAGGUGUUGCUAGGGUUUUGUGAAUGGUUGCCAGGGUGUUGCUAGGUGGUUGUGAGAUGUUUUCUUCCUGCCUUGUGUUCAAGAAUCCUCUGUGAUCUUCUGGUCUGUAGAUGUAUCUCGGGCUCCUCCUUCAAUGCAUCUGUGGGAUUUUUCCAACUAUUCUCUGGUCCAGCAGAAAACGCUGCAUCUGAUCACUUAAUAACAUAAACACACCCUCUCCUUAACAAGACAAAUGAUCUGAGGUAUCAUUUAUGAUUUAUACACUGAGCUUUAAUACUUUGCAGCGAAGUGGAGCUUGACGUACGCCACUAAAUGACGUCACAAAUGUCUGUUUCUAUUGUCAUGGAAUGUUUUGCAUUCAGUUUCAUAGGAUUUAAUUAUAUGCAAUCCUGGGAGUAUCUGGACAAUAUGAAGACAGAGGAUGAAAAGUUCUAAACGCUCAGACUGUGCUGAACAGAACGAAGCACCUGUUUGGAAGCGCAUGCGUGGUGCUGUGAGGAGGUGAGGCACACAAACACGUUUGUCACUGAAAGACUCAAAGUGCUCCAGACGUGUGAAUGAAACGCAUGGCCUGCAGCUCUCUGUCUCUCUCUCUCUAAAUGAGAUGCAUGGCUCUUCUGUAGCCUCCUUUUAAUUCUGUUUGAGUACAUGCCUCAGUCAUCUUGCCUUUUAUUGACUCAAUCUCAGGAAGCAACGUCGCUUUCCAUAAUGCUCACAUCAGGCCGGUCUUCGAUACCGUACUCCGUAAUUUAAAGCCUUUAUAGAAUUGCAAUUUCAGGGCUGGCUGCUUGUUUUUCUAAAAUGUACUCAAGGAAUUAGUUACUCCAGCCACAAAUCAGACAUAUUUAUGCACGGUUGUAAUGCGGUUUAUGGCCUCAUGGUACAUUGCUUCAAAAACAGCAGAGGUGAAAUUGUGACAAAUAUAAUGAGGGUUUUUUCUCCCAUGUUCUCUCCACUGGCCUGAUACGGCGGAGUGUGUUUACUCCCCGUAUACAAUACAUUUAAUGUGAUAGUCAGGGCUGUUGAUUAAUGCGCCGCUCGCUUUCAUUACAGAUAAGAGUGGCGCUGCGGUCAGGAGAUAGAACGUGUGCUGUAAAUCUGCUCAAAUGAGCGGUAAAAUGAACAGCCAUCAGAAGUGAAAUCCACAUGCAUUAGCGUUCACCGGCGGCCGGCAGUGAAGAGGCUAAGGGGGAACAAUUAUAUCUUCAUAGCAGAAUGGAGCGUUUUCAAACAGAUCGUCUUCCUCACGCUGCUCGGCAGAUGGCGGGAGGAUGUACAGCUAUCUUACUCACGGAAAUGAAAAGAAAUGGAGUCGGAACUCUUUAUAAACGUCACACGCAAUUAGAGUCAGUGUUGAGACAAAGAGGCCAUCAAGCACACGUCUGACAUUUUUGUGUUACCCAACCGUUGGGUUAGAGGCUGGUCAAUCUCACUGACAGUUGAAACAGUACACCCCUUCUCACCUGCCCUCCGAUGCAACAACCCAGCUAUUGGGUUACACAGACCACAGGCUUUUUGAAUCCUCGUCAGGAGAGAGCAUUUCUCAACGCCACCGAAUUGGUGCUUUACUUUGGUAAAAUAAAGGUUUGUAUACAUUUUAUUUUGUCUAUAAGUCUUAACAGUGCUGUAAAUCAAUUUAUUUAAUGCAAUGCAAUAUACAGGGAUGAGAUGUCAGUCAGCUGAAUGUGUCCGUCAGCGUCGGUAGUCUCGCAUGACGGAAACGUCUUUAUCUUUGAAUAAACUGAUUUUUAUUUGUUACAAUAUCGAAUAUUAAUUUGGAUGUUGAAAUAUGUUCUCAGAACUCUGUAA